CAUGAACGAAAGCCAAGGUGUGAAUCAUAAAGAAACACAUCCACAUGCUGGUGCCUUUACAGCACUCUGCAGCGAGCGAAGCAGAGCACCCUAGCCAGUGUUCUGCAUGCCGGCGGCGAUGCCCUUCAUGGUGAGGAUGAGCGUGUCCUCCAGCCCCGGCCCGUACUCGCUCGCCGGGUUGAGCUUCACAAUCCCGCGCGGCUGGUUCUCGUCGGCGAACUCCUUGGACAGCGGCGGCUGCGGCGUCACCUUGAAGUUCGGGUCCCUUAUCCUCUUCAGGGUGUAGGCCUGCCACACGUUAAGAAUGGUGAUGUAGGGGUCGCGCAGCCGCAGCUGCUGCUUCAGGCCGGGAUCGCUUUCAAGGAUUUCCUUGUGCCCAGCAACCUGCACAAAGAUGGUGAGUAGUCAGGAUUUCCUUGUGCCCAGCAAUCUGCACAAAGAUGAAAUUCAUUCAUAUGAGUUUUAAUUUAUUACCUGCAGGAUAAGCUUCUCUGUUUCCACGUAGUUGUUCCUGAGCUGCUCCCCGAAUGGCUUGAGUUCGUCGGCGACGAGCAGCUGGUCGUAGAGGCCGGCGAUGGUGGGGUCUCCCUUGGCUAAGACCAUCUCGAGCAGGUCCAGGGUGACCCUGAAGAAUGGCCACUCGUUGUACAUCUCCUUGAGCAUCUGGAAGUUCUUGAUAUCCUUCUUCAUGGCGUGCUUGAACGCGGCGCCGAACCCGAGCCACACCGGGAGGUGGAACCUCGUCUGCGUCCACGAGAAGAUCCACGGGAUCGCGCGGAGCGACUCGAUGCCGCCCUUCGGCUUCCUCUUCGCCGGUCGGCUGCCGAUGUUCAACCUGCCGUACUCCGUCUCCGGGGUAGCCGACCGGAAGUACUCCACGAACCGGGGCUCCCUCAUGACGACGGAGCGGUACUCAUCGGUGGCGACGGCGGCGAUCUCGUCCAUGAGCGCGCGCCACUCGGGCUUGGGGGAGACCGGCGGGUGCAUGCCGUGCUCGAGCGUGGCGGCGGUGAAGCGCUGCAGCGUCCGGAAGCAGAGGUGCUCUUCGCCGAAGGAGGUUUCGAUGACCUCGCCCUGCACCGUCACACGGAGGGACCCGUUGAUGGUGUCCGGCGGCUGGGACAGGAUGGCGAGGUGAGUCGGCCCGCCGCCCCUGCCGACGGUGCCGCCGCGGCCGUGGAACAUGGUCAGCUUCACGCCGUAGCGCUUCGCCACCUUCGCCAUCUCCUCCUGCGCCUUGUACAGGUGCCACGCCGCCGACAGCCGGCCGGCGUCCUUGCCGGAGUCCGAGUAGCCGACCAUCACCUGCUGCUUGCCGCCGAUCCGGUUCAUGUACCAGUCCAGGGAGAAGAGCCGCUCUAUGGACGCCGGCGCCGACUGCAAGUCGGCGAGCUUCUCGAACAGCGGGACCACGGGCAGCGGCUGCUUCACGUGGCACUCACGCUGCAGGAGCUCGACGGCGAGCACGUCGGAGGGCGCCGUCGCCAUGGAGAUGAUGUACGGGCCGAAGCUGUCGCGGGGCAGCUCGGCGAGGACGUGGAAACAUCCGAGCACGUCGGCGAUCUCCUCGGUCUGGGGCAUGUCCUUGCUCAGCAGUGGCCGCUUGCCGCGGAGCUCGGAGAGCAGCCACUCCUGGCGCUUCUCCUCGGACCACUCGCGGUAGGACCCGAUGCCGAGGUGCGUGGUGAUCGCGUCGAUCACGUCUGUGUGACGCUCCGACUCCUGACGGAUGUCCAGCUUCACCAUGGAGAGCCCGAACGUCGAGACCUGCCGCAUGAAGUCGAGCAGGCUCCCGUCGGCGAUGGUCUUGUCACCACAGUCACACAGGGAUUUGUAGCACAGCUCAAGGGGCUCCAGGAACUGACCAAAUUUGAAGGGUUCCACAGUGACAUUAGUUAAACUAUAUUAUGAUAAGGAGCAUGACAUUAACAAAUAACAAUGUUUAUGGAACCCUCAAAAUAACAAGAGGAGCAUGAUGCCGGAUUACCUCUUCAACAUUCUUAAAGGCCGAGUCCUCCGGAAUGUCAGAAAAUCCACUAGUUAGCAGAUGGCGCGAGCGUUCGCGUGUGCUGUACAAUUUGUCCCUCACAUAACCAAGCACCACGCGAUACGGUUCACUUGCAGGAAGUUGCCUCCAGAAUUCUGCACCAACGAAUUCUCUUCAGAAAAUUGGCAAACUGACAAGGCUGAUUCGUGUUAACAUCAUAGAGACUCCUCUUAAAGCCUCCACAUGAAGGCACCUAGGAUUCUAGGUGGGCACUUCAAAAAAAAGAAAAAUACUAGAAAUUUUCAAAAAAGCAAAACAUCUAGCCAUCUAUUCAGUAGACUUAAAUCAUCCAAUUCAUUGAACUAUUAUGUUCCUGCCAUUAUGAAAAUAGUUUAAAGUAACCCCCUAAGUAUAUAUCUAAAUUACCCACGUAUGCCAUUACAUAAAAUAAAUUAAAGUACACCUAAUCUUCGUCUAAAUUACCCACUUAUACCAUUAUUAAGAAUAGUUUAAAAUAACCCACUAAAUUUGUUUCAAAUUUCCCACCACUAACAUUAUAAAAAAAAAUAACUUAAAGUAAAUCCUUAAGUUUACAUCUAAAUUACUCACAUAUUCCAUGUUUAAAAAUAUAUCCCAAGAUACACCAAUAUAUUAUUCUAAUCAUUAAGGUAUAUACGCAUGAUGUGUGUCACCAUUUAUAAAUAUAUAGAGGAAGUGAUAAGAAUACAUAUUUUCAUGUUAAAAAUAUAUCUCAAACUUAGGUUCCAUUAAACAAAUUUAAGAAUGUAUAUACGGUGCAAGUGAAACAAGAUAUUAUAAAUAUAGAUGAAAAUGUUAUAGAGUAAUUACUACUAAAAUCUUUUAUAAUCCGAUGAAGAUAAUAAAUAUUAGAAUAUUAAAAAAUGAGAGUGAGGUCAAGGUAACAGUUUUGAGUGUUUAGCUAUGUGCCUUAUUUUUUUUAAUUGAAGAAUCUGCAUUAAUCCCCAUGAGACGCAAUAGGAAAAAGAUAAAUCCAACAAAUUAUCACAAAAAUUGAAACAUCCACGUAUCAAUCUGGUAGACAAUCUAUCAUUAUGAAAAAUAUUCUAAAGUAAACCCCUUAGUCUAUAUCUAAAUUACCCACAUCUACCAUUAUAAAAAUAAUCUAAGGUAACUCCAUAAUCUUUAUCUAAAUUACCCUUGCAUAUCAUCAUAAAAAAUAAAUUAAAAUACUCUUCUAAAUUUGUAUCUAAGUUACCAGCCUAUGUUGUUAUUAAUAACAACCUAAAGUAAUUAUCUGUGUGGUCAUUAUACAAAAUGUCCAAAAGUAACCCAAUAUAUGAUACUAGACAUUUCUAUCAUUGUUAAUAUAGAAAUACAAAGUUAAUGUAUAUAUGCAUGAUGGGUGUUACCAUGUAGAACAUUUAUACAUGUAUGAGAGAAAGUGAUGAAAACUACAUGAUUUUCAGGUUAAGUACAAUAUAUGGAGUGAGAUGCAAAGUGAAAAAACGUACGAAUAUGAAUGAAAAAGUAUAUAGAGUAAUUACUAAUUAAAAGUUAAUCACAACCCAACAAAGACAAAUGCACAUCUAUAUGAGUAUUGGUGUUAGAAUAUUAAAUAAACGAGAGGGUCAUAGGUAAAAAGUUUGAUUACUUACUAGGGUGUCUAAUUUUUAAAUUACUUCAUAAUACAAUGGCUUCUAAAAUUAUUAAUCCAUGCAAGAGCACGGAUUGAUGGUCCAGUUAUUCAAAUUUGAAUAGACUAGUGGAGACUUUGCAAAAGCUUGUAUGGAAAACUAUUCUAUGAUUAGGUGAUACAAACAAACAUAUCGAUUAAAUAUGUAUAUAUCUUCAAAAAGGACUGCAAAUUGAGGCUAAAAUUAGUUUGUUUGAGUUACCAAUAUAAUGCUUGGAAAUUUUCUGUGAAGCAGCGUGAAGUUCUUCCGCUCGAGCACGGAGUUCGUCGUUGCAGCGCCACAUAGAGAGCUACAGAUAUAUCAGAUGAGACUAGCAACAAUAGGUAAUACUAGAUGAGCAUUAGGAAGCAUGAAUCAAACACAUUUCUACAAUACCUCGAACAUCAAUUCUUCUAUCUGAGAGAAGUACAAGUUUGACGCCAUCAUUCUUGCAAGCAAGCAUACAUCCCUUGUCACCUCUGGCGUAACUCUUGGAUUUCCUACAGAAACCAAACGUAUGGAGACUUGAAGGGGAAAACAAAUGCUAGGAACACUAAAAAUAGUCAUCACUCAUCACUAAUUACUUAGACGCAAUCCGAAUACUUUUUUCUAGAGAAAACUAGAGUAUCACAUCAAGGAAAUUAAAAAGAAUUAAUUGAUAAUCCACUGCCACAAAAAUGUGUUCCGGAAUCAGAAGAUCAUUCGCAUCUGCAAAGGAGGAUUUACCAUCGCGGUCGCCACCCAUCCAAGAAGAGAACUGAAUGAGAGGAGCAUUGUAGGGGAGACGCUCAUCAAUCCCGAUGUUCUUUAGAGCUGUAUCCACACGUCGCAAAAACUUUGGGACACCCUUCCAUAUAGUUUCAUGAAAAUAGCUCAUCCCGUAACGCAUUUCAUCCUGUGGGGUUGGUUGUGCUCUCCGAAUUUCGUCUGUUCUAAAACAUGCUUGGAUCUGCGAAGAGCAAACACCAGGCAUUAGAACGAAUUGAAAUUCCCGAAGCAUUAAAAAACAAGAUCUUCACCCUGCCCUAGUUCAAGUGGACUGGAUCAUGGUGAAAUAAAAUAUGUGAAAGGUAACACUAGUAAUUUAGCAGAUUUCCAGUAAAAGAAUUCAAAAAUCUCUAUUGAAGUACUCAUAUAAUGAAAACCGUAUGGCACAGUGGAAAGAAGACAAUGUAAUAACACGACAGAACCAUAGCCGUAGGAUAAAAUUUUUACUGUUUUUAAAUGGCAGGGUAGUAAUAAUUGUGUAAACAAAAAAAUAGUACUAUUGUGUGUUUCUUAUUUGGACUUGAAGGAAUCAAUAAAAAAAUUGUCAGAAACUUUGAAGAUAUUUUAUACCAAUUGCAGUGAGCUAGUUCCUUUGAGCAAGCACGAGUUCACUUUAAUCUUACUACCAACCUUUGGUACCAAUACUUUUCACCAGCUAAUAGAACGAUUUGAUAUUUGAACAAUCUUACUAUAUAAAUUGGAAGCUCCUUUCAAAGUCGCAAGGUGAAGCCACCUAGGAUACUCUAAAAAAGAGAGAAAUUCUAGAAAUUCUUACAAAAUUAGAUGUUUCUAGCCAUCAAUAUGGUAGACUCUAAUCACAAUUGAUGAUAAUAGCCAUUGGAUCUAUUACAUUUAAAAAAAAACCCACCCAUGCUAUUAUGAAAAGAGUUUAUAACCCUCUAAAUCUACAUAUAAAUUCCUCCAAAUGAGCCAUAUCAUGUGAUGCUUGGUUAUGUAAGAUAAAUUAAUUCCUCCAAAUGAGCCAUAUCAUGUGAUGCUUGGUUAUGUAAGAUAAAUUGUACUACUCAUGCAAACGUUCGCGCCAUCUGCUGACUACUUGAUUUUCUGACAUUCCGGAGGACUCGGCCUUUAGCAAUGUUGCAGAGGUAAUUCGACAUCAUGCUCCUUUGUGAUUUAAGUGUUCCAUAAAUAAAUUUUCUUUGGAAGCUUCUCAUCAUAGUAUGAUCAUCUUACCAUUACUAAUUGAAAGCUCCUUUUGAGGCCUUCACAUGAAGCCACCUAGGAUCCUAGGUGGACACUCUAGAAAAAUACAGAAAUCCUAGAAAUUCUAUCAAAAAAGAAAAACAUCUAGCCAUCAAUUAGGUAGACUGAAAUUAUCAUAGACAUUAAAUCUAUUAUAUUUUCUAAAAAAUUACCCACCCUAACAUUAUAAAAAUGUCUAAAGAAACCCCCUAAAUCUAUAUCUAAAUUACUCACCACUACCAUUUUAUAAAAUAAACUAAAUUACCCCUAAUCUUCAUCUAAAUUAUCCACUUAUGCUAUUAUAAUUUUUUAAAAUAUUUCCAUAAAUUUGUAUUUAAAUUGCCCACCACUAACAAUAUAAAUUAAAAUUAAAAUUAAAGUAACCCCUUAAAUUCACAUCUAUAUUACCCACAUAUCCCAUUAUCGAAAAUAAUAUGAGGUAAACCUAAAUCUAAAUUCAAAUUAUAUCCAUUAAAAUAUAUCCUCAUGGUACACCAAUAUAUGAUUCUAAAUUAUCUAUUUCUUACAUUGUUUAUAUAGAAAAUAAUAAUUAAGCUAUAUACGCACAUGAUGUGUAUCGCUGUUUAUAAAUAUAUACAGGAUGUGUGUCGCCAUUUAAAAUAUAUUUCCAUGUUAAAAAUGUAGAUCAAACUUAGGGUCUAUUAAACAAAUUCAAGCAUAUACCUACAAUGCAAAGUGAAAAAUAAAGAUUAUAAUGUGGAUGAAAGCUUUAUAGAGUAAUCAUUAACUAAAGUCUACCAUAAUCGGAUGAACAUAAUAAGUACAUACCUAUAUAAGUAUUGUAUUAGAAUAUUUAAUAAACUGGAAAGUGCUUAAGGUAACAAUUUUGAUUGUUAGCUAGGUACCCUUAUUCUUUAAUUGGAGACUUCGUAUCAAUUCUCAUGACACGCACUAGCAAAAAAAGAUAAAUCCUACAAAUUCUCACAUAAAAGUGAAACAUUUAGGCAUUAAUCGUGUAGACUCUAAUAAUCAUAGUCAUUGGUCUAUUAUAUUUUCUAAAAAAUUAUCCAACACUAUGAUUAUGAAAAUAUUGUACAAAUUCUCCCUAAACCUAUAUCUAAAUUAUCCAUCUCUACCAUUAUAAAAAAAUAAUCCAAUGUAAUCCCAUAAUCUUCGUCGAAUUAUCCAUUCAUGUUAUUGUGAGAAAUAACUUAAAUAUCUUCUAAAUUUGUAUUUAAAUUAACACAUACGUGGUUAUUAAAAAUAACCUAAAGUAAGUACCUAAAUCUACAGAAAUAUCCAAAAUAAAAAAAUAUGAUUCUAAAUUACCUAUUCUACCAUUAUUAAUAUAGAAAUACUAAGUUAAGGUAUAUAUGCAUGAUGGGUGUCACCACAUGUAGGCGAUUUAUAAUCGUAUCAAUGUAUGGGAGGAAGAGAUGAAAAAUAUUGAUUUUCAUGUUAAACACAAUGUAUGGAAGUGCGAUGCAAAGUGAAAAGAUAUGAAUGUGGAUGAAAAAGUGUAUAGAUUAAUUAACUGGACAAAGAUAAGGACACAUCUAUAUGAAAUUUGUGUUAGAAUAUUAAAUAAAUGAGAGUGUCCUAGCUAAAUAAUUUUGAUUAUUAGAUAGAGGGUCUAGUUUUUAAAUAGUUUUCUAAUACAAUGGCUCUUAAAAAUGUUGACGUACGAAGAAUUUUUGGGCCCACUAACUUACACGUGUCAUGCUGAACGUCAUGGGCUCACAAGUCCACAUAUUGUGUUCUAUACUAUCUUUAUCAGAAGAAGAAUUUAACGACAAAAAGAGAUGGGCAGUCCCUCUUCAGCCUCACAUGCAUGGGAGAAAUGUCAGAAUGGCCUGUCUGGCACCCUGGCAUGGCACUUGUAUGAUGCAACCGAGCAAGAACAAGAGUGAAAAGGAGGGCCUUAAUGGUGAUAACAACACUGCCGUAAUAUCGAUUGCAAUAACAUGAUCGUUUUCUUGGAAUUCAUUAGGUAAACAAAGUCAGAGCCUCAAAUUUGCAGGAAUUAUCUUGAUUCACUAUGCAAAAGUUUUGAUGUUCACUAGUGUUGAAAUGUAAGUACCUCCCUCUGCAGAGCCUCGUCGAGCUCCUGCUUAUCGUCCUCCGUGAUGUCCUUGGCAUACAGCUGCGUGAGGCAGUUCCGGAUCCUGCGUGCAAGGACAAGACGAACAUUUCCGUUCCGUAAUAAUGAAGAAAUGGAUUGGAAUUGUUCACGGAUUUGGAUGCAGAAUAAUGACCCGUGUACCUGGCGUGCUUCUGGAGGAGCGACCUUCGGACGGACUGCGUGGGGUGGGCGGUGAAGACGAGGUCGACGGUCUGGUUCUUGAGCGCGUCGAAGACCUCCUCCUUGGACUUUCCGAGCUCUGUGACGAGGCGCUUGAGCGUCUCCUCGAUGUCAGACUCGGUGGCAGCGAAGCCCUCGUCGGCGAAGUCCCCGCGCUUGAGCUUGUUCCGGCGGAGGUGGGCGAGCUGCACCUCCUCCGCGAGGUUUGUUAGGUUGAGCAUGUUCGAGAAGGAGCUCGCCACGACGAUGGCGUCAUUGGGGGACAGCUUGGUGAGCCUGGACCCGAGCUCGCUCAGCUUCGCGGCGUCGCGGUCGCGCUCGU
rnacentral:lncRNA from 1 species